ensembl:lncRNA
AGUACAGGGAGUGGUCUGCCCAGCUCUUGCCUAGUGAAUUUAGACAGGGAGUCAGCUACGGGUGGUGUAUACCCAUGGGUCUCUUCCCUAACAAAUCCCCCCCCCCUGCAACACAGGAAGAAAAGUAAAUAUAAUAAACAGUAAACAAAAAAUGUAACAUACAUACUAAACCUCUCACCAGCUGCAUCCAAUAAUGAAAAGGGGGAGGAGUCCAGCCAUCUUGCAUGCAGAGAUCCUGGAGAGACAGGACACAAACCAAAACAAACACCCCCAAAAUGUAACAACAUCUCAUUAACUACAACCAAAAAAACUGAAAACAAGCAGUUCUGUGAUUCACCACCUGUGUAUGAGCCAGAGACAGUUCCCUGCCACUCAGAUGAUUCAGCUGUUAGAUUGUCAGUUGAUCAGGCGAUAGCUGAUCAUUCACAUACACCCAUGUUUUUUGGCUGAUGAAAGCUUGAUGUGUGUAUUUCAUCAAAAUAACAGGUAUGUAGGCAUUUACCUUUUGGAAUUAGUUCAGGAUUAUUAAAAUAACUUUCAGACAAUUCGCUGCAACCAGAAGCCAAACCUUUAAGCAAGAUGAGUCAAAUCCACUGAGGAUUCACAUGUGGGUCUGGAGGUGAACAAAAGGGUAAUGAGGAGUACUAAAUUCGUCUUUCAUUAUGAACUUGCACCUCUCAGCUAUUUCUUUGUAUAUUCUUGUCUCAUGCAUUUUUCUUCACACUUCACUUCCCCUGUCCUAUUCUACCUCGUUACUUCUUUAUCUCCUUUCUUUCUUUUCCUACCCUUUUAUUUUGUCUGUCUCAUUCCAUCUCUCUAUUCACAUAACCUCCGUCUCGUCAUUGUCCCUCACACUCUAGCCCUCCGGAAAAAAGAAAAUGGGAAAACGGCAAAUCCCACAGCCUCUUACGGCACCCGUGUUUACCAACCCAUAAUGCCGUUCUCAAAUUUCUUUAGCUCCCAAUAUCGUUCCUUGUGUGUAUGUACCCCAACUGCACCACCGCCCUCCACCUUUCCUUUAUUGCCCAACAAAGGCAGCAAAUGC